rfam:Ictidomys tridecemlineatus contig062742, whole genome shotgun sequence.
GGGGUUGUGGCUCAGCGUCAGAGCGCUCAUCUUGCACGUGUGAGGCCCUGGGUUCGAUCCUCAGCACCA